UACGAAGGGGGGCUAGCGUUGUUCGGAAUUACUGGGCGUAAAGCGCACGUAGGCGGAUAUUUAAGUCAGGGGUGAAAUCCCGGGGCUCAACCCCGGAACUGCCUUUGAUACUGGGUAUCUCGAGUCCGGAAGAGGUGAGUGGAAUUCCGAGUGUAGAGGUGAAAUUCGUAGAUAUUCGGAGGAACACCAGUGGCGAAGGCGGCUCACUGGUCCGGUACUGACGCUGAGGUGCGAAAGCGUGGGGAGCAAACAGG
rnacentral:rRNA from 1 species